UUCGCCCUUAGAGUUUGAUCCUGGCUCAGAACGAACGCUGGCGGCAGGCUUAACACAUGCAAGUCGAGCGCCCCGCAAGGGGAGCGGCAGACGGGUGAGUAACGCGUGGGAACGUACCUUUUGGUUCGGAACAACUCCGGGAAACUGGAGCUAAUACCGGAUAAGCCAUUCGGGGGAAAGAUUUAUCGCCGAAAGAUCGGCCCGCGUCUGAUUAGCUAGUUGGUGAGGUAACGGCUCACCAAGGCGACGAUCAGUAGCUGGUCUGAGAGGAUGAUCAGCCACACUGGGACUGAGACACGGCCCAGACUCCUACGGGAGGCAGCAGAAGGG
rnacentral:rRNA from 1 species